GUACUGAUGAAGAGUCUUACAAUAAGACGAAACGAUCGUCCAAUGC
rnacentral:hammerhead_ribozyme from 1 species